CCUACGGGUGGCUGCAGUGAGGAAUAUUGGUCAAUGGCCGAGAGGCUGAACCAGCCAAGUCGCGUGAGGGAUGAAGGCCCUACGGUUUGUAAACCUCUUUUGUCGGGGAACAAAGAUAUUCACGUGUGGCCCGUUGAGUGUACCCGAAGAAACAGCAUCGGCUAACUCCGUGCCAGCAGCCGCGGUAAUACGGAGGAUGCGAGCGUUAUCCGGAUUUAUUGGGUUUAAAGGGUGCGCAGGCGGCGUUUCAAGUCAGGGGUCAAAGUUCGGGGCUCAACCCCGUACUGCCGUUGAAACUGGAUCCAUGGAGUGUGCGGGAAGUAGGCGGAAGGCGGGGGGUAGCGGUGAAAUGCAUAGAUAUCACGAAGAACUCCGAUUGCGAAGGCAGAAGACCGGCGCGCAACUGACGCUCAUGAACGAAAGCGUGGGUAUCGAACAGGAUUAGAUACCCUGGUAGUC
rnacentral:rRNA from 1 species